rnacentral:tmRNA from 2 species
GGGGCUGUCAUGGUUUCGACGUGUUAGUGAACGUUACCGUGUGAUACAGGUCGAGAGUGAGCGCUCUCUCGUAAAUCCAUGCUCAACAACAAGUAAAUGCGAACAACAUCGUAUCCUUCUCUCGUAAGCCGGCUCUUGUAGCUGCUUAAAAAUCCUUUUCGGAUCGAGAGGUCUUCAGUACGACUCCGUUAAGGAUUGAAGACAAACCCCAACGGAUGCUGCUAGGUUAUUGCCUCUAGUCCUUGCCUAGUUUAAGAACUCACUGGAGAAUCCUAUGAUCGGGGAUAAUCGAUCGUUCCCGCCCGAGGGUUAGAAGGGCUAAACCUGUGAAUGAGCUAAGAGCUAAUAACUGAUACGGACAGCGGUUCGAUUCCGCUCAGCUCCAUCG